rnacentral:lncRNA from 1 species
GUUUGGUUACUCAUCUGGAAAUUUUAAUACUUUCUUCAGGGGCAGGGACUGGCAAUAAAAAAAUAGACCUAUAUAUCAAACCUUUAACUUCCAGCCAUCAUUGUGUGCUAUAAUACAGAUGGAGUGACUAUCAGCAAGCUUUACUGUGUUGGUUUAUUUUCUUUAGCAGAGAAUGUGGAUUUAAAUGGGAUAAAGCAACAAAGUCGACUUAGGGCCGGAGAGCCCAUCGGAACCUUCCAUUUCCUUUGCAAGCAGAGAUAACUGGCUACAGUCAGCCUCCCCAGGACCUGAUGCCAAAGGAUAACUGCAAGAUCAGAAAGGUAUUGGAGAGCCUCUGCAGUGCAUUCACAGUGCCUCAGAUGGGUAUCAUUCAGCUGUCUUGUCCUGACCAAGGCUGGGAAAAUUUGAAAUGAUGACUUCAACCUACGGGCAAGGAAUCCACGAAGCAGCAUCCAGCAGGGUAUUGAUACAGCCAGACUUGCAGCAAGAUGGAGAAUAAAUUGAUAGUAAGUGGCUUGCAGGAGGCCUGAGCAUAUGAUAAAACACAGUUAAAAGAGUAUAACUCUUUGAUCUAGCUUUUAUAAACUCAGGCAGAGCAUAAGAAUUCCAGACAGAUUAAGAGAAAAAAGCCCUGGGCUGAGAGAGG